rnacentral:rRNA from 1 species
GACGAACGCUGGCGGCGUGCUUAACACAUGCAAGUCGAACGGAAAGGCCCUGCUUUUGUGGGGUGCUCGAGUGGCGAACGGGUGAGUAACACGUGAGUAACCUGCCCUUGACUUUGGGAUAACUUCAGGAAACUGGGGCUAAUACCGGAUAGGAGCUCCUGCUGCAUGGUGGGGGUUGGAAAGUUUCGGCGGUUGGGGAUGGACUCGCGGCUUAUCAGCUUGUUGGUGGGGUAGUGGCUUACCAAGGCUUUGACGGGUCGCCGGCCUGAGAGGGUGACCGGCCACAUUGGGACUGAGAUACGGCCCAGACGCCUACGGGAGGCAGCAGUGGGGAAUAUGGCACAAUGGGCGGACGCCUGAUGCAGCAACGUCGCGUGCGGGAUGACGGCCUUCGGGUUGUAAACCGCUUUCGCCUGUGACGAAGCGUGAGUGACGGUAAUGGGUAAAGAAGCACCGGCUAACUACGUG